UACGUAGGGGGCAAGCGUUUGUCCGGAUUUAUUGGGCGUAAAGAGCUCGUAGGCGGCUUGGCAAGUCGGGUGUGAAAACUCCAGGCUCAACCUGGAGAUGCCACUCGAGACUGCUAUGGCUAGAGUCCGGUAGGGGACCACGGAAUUCCUGGUGUAGCGGUGAAAUGCGCAGAUAUCAGGAGGAACACCGGUGGCGAAGGCGGUGGUCUGGGCCGGCACUGACGCUGAGGAGCGAAAGCGUGGGGAGCAAACAGG
rnacentral:rRNA from 1 species